rnacentral:rRNA from 1 species
CCUACGGGAGGCAGCAGUGAGGAAUAUUGGUCAAUGGGCGGAAGCCUGAACCAGCCAAGUAGCGUGCGGGAUGAAGGCCCUACGGGUCGUAAACCGCUUUUGCACGGGGAUAACACCCUCCACUUGUGGAGGUCUGCAGGUACCGUGCGAAUAAGGGCCGGCUAAUUCCGUGCCAGCAGCCGCGGUAAUACGGAAGGCCCGAGGGUUAUCCGGUUUCAUUGGGGUAAAAGGGAGCGUAGGCGGGCGUUAAAGUCAGAGGUAAAAGCGCGCGGCUAAACCGCGCACCGCAGUUGAAACUGGGCGGCUUGAGUGCACAAGAGGCAGGCGGAAUUCGUGGUGUAGCGGUGAAAUGCAUAGAUAUUACGAGGAACACCGAUGGCGAAGGCAGCCUGCCGGGGUGCGACUGACGCUGAGGCUCGAAGGUGCGGGUAUCAAACAGGAUUAGAUACCCGAGUAGUC